rnacentral:rRNA from 1 species
AUUGAACGCUGGCGGCAGGCCUAACACAUGCAAGUCGAACGGUAACAGGAAACAGCUUGCUGUUUCGCUGACGAGUGGCGGACGGGUGAGUAAUGUCUGGGAAACUGCCUGAUGGAGGGGGAUAACUACUGGAAACGGUAGCUAAUACCGCAUAACGUCGCAAGACCAAAGAGGGGGACCUUCGGGCCUCUUGCCAUCGGAUGUGCCCAGAUGGGAUUAGCUUGUUGGUGGGGUAACGGCUCACCAAGGCGACGAUCCCUAGCUGGUCUGAGAGGAUGACCAGCCACACUGGAACUGAGACACGGUCCAGACUCCUACGGGAGGCAGCAGUGGGGAAUAUUGCACAAAGGGCGCAAGCCUGAUGCAGCCAUGCCGCGUGUAUGAAGAAGGCCUUCGGGUUGUAAAGUACUUUCAGCGGGGAGGAAGGGAGUAAAGUUAAUACCUUUGCUCAUUGACGUUACCCGCAGAAGAAGCACCGGCUAACUCCGUG